CGAGGAACGUUCUGACACCGAGAUCAAGAAGGAAGCUUGAAAGAAUCCUCAGCGACCGGAAGCCCAUAAGCUGACACUUAACAAAACAAGCAGCAGCAGGAAGCUUCGUUCGUCAACCCGCCAAAGAUUGUCGUUCAGCGGCCCACCAUCGACCUGUACGCCGAGGUCAAGGAACGUCUCAUGUUGCGUCGCGAGAAGGACCUGUGAAGGAGAGAUGGAACGCAAGCAGGCCGCGGCCGGGAAUCUGCAGGAGCUGGAGCAGAAGCUGAAGAACAAGAGGAUGAAGACGGAGGACAGGGGUCUUCACUGGUCAAAGACGUUCAGCGAAUCGAGCGAGGGAAAGAGCCGUAGCGGUCAAGGUGGCGAUUAGAAUGACUACAGAUCAACGGUACGAAAGGCACGAUUGGUACGGUGGAGAAUGUGAUGGACCUCUUCGGCUGCUGUCGAAGCAUUGGGAGGACGACAUCCAGAAAUUCUCACCCAGCCGUAUUCCGGAAUUGCCACGCGUGACGGCUAUGUCCUGACAAGUGCCCUCGGAACGACAAGUGCCCUCGGAACGACAAGUGCCCUCGGAAAAGAUUCGAAGGACGGGCACGGCCCUGCAAGUGCACACCUAACGACCCUAACGACGGUUGUAAUGCUGCACGAACGAAUCAGACAAGUUUGUCAACUUUAUAACCCGUGUCCAUCCCGUCCUUUAGUGCAUUUACUCAAUGGACCGGUCUCUCGCCGAUUCUCGUUAAUUCUCCCCCAGGAAGUGCGCCAGGUUAACCCCACGACUGCAGCUGCCACAGGUGACCUGGGCCUCCUGGGAAAAUCGAACGCCGCCGCUCAAUUCCGCCACCGCCACCAAGAAACCCUUCGAAUGGUCAAUCCAGUGAAGGUGAAUUUAGCACUGACCAACAAAAUCAAAUGUCAAUCGCUGAAUCGGCUGAUACACUUGGGGACAAAGUCAGAAAACAAGGACCAGAUCCUGCUUCCCGGUUUAUACCAUGAUCAACGUUAGCCAGAACUGUCGUUAGGAGGACUACAGGGCGGUCAGUUUACCUCCUUGGACGGAUUUUAAUUCCCGGGAGUUUAUCAUUCAGUUCCAGAAUCAAACAACGGCCUCGCAGCUAGAACACCUUGGAGGUCAACCAAUGCCCUGUAAGGACAGCUCAAAAAACCUGCUUGAUCUCAGCCUGCUUCACUACGAGGGGAGCAAUGGGGCCACGACCGAGAACCGAGGGGUGCGCAGCGCUGCCCACCGGACAGAAAGGAACUGGCCCCGCGAGCAGCAAAAAGCAAAUCA